UUGCCUUAGUAACGGCGAGUGAAGCGGCAAAAGCUCAAAUUUGAAAUCUGGCACCUAUGGUGUCCGAGUUGUACUUUGGAGAGGCAUCUUCUGGAGGGGCCCGGCCUAUGUGCCUUGGAACAGGACGUCAUAGAGGGUGAGAAUCCCGUAUUUGACCGGAUGUUCCCUCCUGUAUGUAGUGUCUUCUACGAGUCGAGUUGUUUGGGAAUGCAGCUCAAAAUGGGUGGUAAAUUUCAUCUAAAGCUAAAUACUGGCGAGAGACCGAUAGCGCACAAGUAGAGUGAUCGAAAGAUGAAAAGCACUUUGAAAAUAGAGUCAAACAGUACGUGAAAUUGUUGAAAGGGAAGCGCUUGAGACCAGAGUCAGCCUUUGGCAAACAAUUGUCCUUCUGGGCGGUGCACUUGUCAUUGGUUGGGCCAGCAUCGGUUGAGACGGCAGGAUAAAGGCCAGGGGAAUGUGACUCCACUAUGGAGUGUUAUAGCCUCGGGUGGCAUGCUGUCAGUUUCGACCGUGGACCGCGCCUCGGCUCGGAUGCUGGCUUAAUGGUCUUCAGCGACCCGUCUUGAAACACGGACCAAGGAGUCUAACGUCUAUGCGAGUGUUUGGGCUUCAAACCCUUACGCGUAAUGAAAGUAAACGGAGGUGGGAAUCCUGCAAGGGGUGCACCAUCGACCGAUCCUGAUGUCUUCGGAUGGAUUUGAGUAGGAGCAUAGCUGUUGGGACCCGAAAGAUGGUGAACUAUGCCUGAAUAGGGUGAAGCCAGAGGAAACUCUGGUGGAGGCUCGCAGCGGUUCUGACGUGCAAAUCGAUCGUCAAAUUUGGGUAUAGGGGCGAAAGACUAAUCGAACCAUCUAG
rnacentral:rRNA from 1 species